UCUCAAAUCAAACCACAAUAUGCUAGCUUCUAAGAAUAAGCUCAUCAAUUAACAUCUAAUCAAAAUAACCAACACAUAAUCACACCAAAUAAGCCAACAUAUAAGACAUUAUAUACGUCAUAUAAUUAACUUAUCAAACACAUAACUUAAGCCAACUUAAAUGGCAAAAUUCACAUCAACAUUUACAAUCCAAAUCACAUGGCUAAAAUCAUAACUCAAAGCAUAUCAAGAUGAC
rnacentral:lncRNA from 1 species